CCUACGGGAGGCUGCAGUGGGGAAUAUUGGACAAUGGGGGGAACCCUGAUCCAGCCAUGCCGCGUGUGUGAAGAAGGCCCUCGGGUUGUAAAGCACUUUCAGUGAGGAAGAACGCCUGGUGGUUAAUACCCAUCAGGAAAGACAUCACUCACAGAAGAAGCACCGGCUAACUCCGUGCCAGCAGCCGCGGUAAUACGGAGGGUGCGAGCGUUAAUCGGAAUUACUGGGCGUAAAGCGCGCGUAGGUGGCUUGAUAAGCCGGUUGUGAAAGCCCCGGGCUCAACCUGGGAACGGCAUCCGGACCUGUCAAGCUAGAGUGCAGGAGAGGAAGGUAGAAUUCCCGGUGUAGCGGUGAAAUGCGUAGAGAUCGGGAGGAAUACCAGUGGCGAAGGCGGCCUUCUGGACUGACACUGACACUGAGGUGCGAAAGCGUGGGUAGCAAACAGGAUUAGCUACCCCGGUAGUC
rnacentral:rRNA from 1 species